rnacentral:rRNA from 1 species
CACGUAGGCACCAAGCGUUAUCCGGAUUUAUUGGGCGUAAAGAGCUCGUAGGCGGUUCGGUAAGUCGGGUGUGAAAACUCUGGGCUCAACCCAGAGAGGCCACCCGAUACUGCUGUGACUAGAGUGCGGUAGGGGAGCGGGGAAUUCCUGGUGUAGCGGUGAAAUGCGCAGAUAUCAGGAGGAACACCAGCGGCGAAGGCGCCGCUCUGGGCCGUAACUGACGCUGAGGAGCGAAAGCAUGGGUAGCAAACAAG